ensembl:lncRNA
GGGAGGUCGGCCUCUCCGCGGCUGCUGGUCAGGACCUUGCGCUGCAGAUUUCAGCCGGUAGUGUAGGCGUCCUCGGCGCCAGCCUGGAGAGAGGAAAACAGAGAAAUGGGAUUGGUUUCCACAGAGCUAGAGUCAACGCGGCUGCCCAGACCCCUCUCCCAAAAGCAAGAAUCCCGUCCUAGGUUACUCUGAGGCCUGCCUUUGGCCUUUGCCGGGCCCUUGGAUCCCCGCCUGCUUGGGAAAGUGGUCGGGAUAAGGCCGCCCUUCUCACCGCCCAGCUAAGCAGUGACGGCUUCAGAGACCCAUCCCUCCGAAGAAUCAUUGGCUUGUAACAUGAAGCAACGCUUCUAUAUGGGAUCUUGCGAAACCUUUUGCAAAGAUAUCCUUGGUCCUUGCGCUUACGGGGCAGGCGGUGGAACCAGUGAGCUAAAUCCCCAGCCCACAGCCUAAAGUUUCUUAAUGAUCUGAAUGCACGAGGAUCUGAAGGUUCGUCCCAGGCCGAUAAUCUCCGGCGGCAUCACCUCACCGAGGAGAGGAAGGUGCUGGGCGCAUGCAGAGCAAGUGAGGCGCCUUCGCUCUUCGCUACACUUCUGACGCGGGGCGGGAUGGAAUUGGAUUACAAGAUCUGAGGGUUUUGUUUUUCUUUUUGCUUGGCUGGUUGGCUUUUUUUCUUUUUGUAAGAACCCACUGCCCUGGCAAUGAUUCCCACCACACUGCCAAAAUGGGGGCGGGGGGAGGCUCAAGGACAGCGGGGUCCCUGCGGCUGCGCAACUCUGCAGAGGGAGCCUGGGCAGCAGCCCGCGACCCCGCCUGCGUCCACACGGGGACCAGGAGCCCGGCCCGCUUAAUGGCCACCUUUCGGCUUAGUGAACCAGGACUCCAGGCGGCGACCAACGCAAACCCUAAAGGAAGGGGUACUCCUCUAGUGGCCUUUGCUCUCCGCAUCAUUGGGUGCGUUCCCGAACGUGGCGCAGGCUUAAGCGCGAGGGGAAGCCACGGCCACCGCCCCCAACACAAAGAGACGGGUCCUCACACGUACUUCCGUGCUACACAAGAACCCCUCAAGGGGGAGCUGAGGAAACGAGGGGCAGGGGACAAGCCAGGUGCUCAGACGCAACUUUACUUCAAAGCGUCUGGCACAAGCAAUGGGGGAAAAGGGUACCGUAGGGAGGACGCGGUGCGCAGGCGCGGGGAACCAAGACCUGAGAGUUUGGAGCUGCCCCUCCCCCUUCCUCAAAAGCCAGGGAAGUUGCCCCACUGCGCCUGCGCGACAAUGUUCGGGGAGGGGAGAGCGGGCCAGUUCCCUGCGUUGAGAGAACCGCCCCCUCAGGUGAGCGAGCGCGCGAGUGCGCGCACGUACCACUCUCAAACUCCCUCGCGCGGCCUUUUGCGCCCGCCCUAUCGCGCGUGCGCCGGGAAGGAGGCGGCUGCGGCCGAAUUUGCGGCUUUUUUCUGAGUUUCUCUUGAGAAGUUUCUGGAAAGACGAAGCCUAAAGGAAGCUGGGGGAUGGGAAGAGCGGGGAAGCCGCAUUUGAGAGAAGAAAGCGAAAUAUCCAAAGCAGACGGCCAUCGCUCUGCCUCCCAACUCUCAAGCCACGGCCAAGGAGAGCCCGAGACCCUCACAUCCAGGGGAAAAGCAUGAGGACCGCACAGCUGCUGCUUCCUCUGGCCGUGACUAGAACCCUCGCCUCCGGGGCAGGGGAAAGGGAAGGGGUGUCCGGGAACACCCGGAGCGGCCCGGGACGUUUGCGCGGUGGAGCGGGCGCCAGUGGCCCGGAGAUCUGGGCCCCCGCCUGCAGUGGGCGUGGCUGCCGAGCUGCGGUUUAGGGGCGCCAGACUCCCGUUUUCCGUAGCCUCUCUUUGGUGGCUCUGUGUUUUCCCCUCCACCCGCCUCCACUUCGGUGGCGUGGAGCUAAUGCAGCGAGUGCGGAGAAGCCGCUCUACGUGGCCGCGGUGGGGCGGGGGCGCCGGCGCCUGGCUGCCAUUUUGUGGCUCGGCCGCCAUUUCGCGCCGCGCGGGUGGCGGGGCGCAGGCGCGGCACCUUUGUUCUUGGGACGCUGCCUGGCUGGGCGCGCGCUUCCCCGCGGCCUGGGGAACCUGUACCAAAGAUCCCACGCCCUCCUCGCUCGUGGACAACAUAACGGCCCGGCCGCCGUGGGAAAAAGACGCCUUGCCGGGGAGGGUUAACGCAGCGUGGAAAGCCGCUCUCUGGAACCUCGGGCCUGAGGGAGGAGCAAAGCGUGGGCCCUUGUGGCGCUCUGUAAAGAGUAGGGCAGAGCAAGCAGCUGCGGGAGCCCUAAUAAAGGUGUUAAAGCCCUCGUAAUCGGGAGACCCGAUCGCUUUACAAAAGAAAAACACCCGAAGUAGCGCCUGAAGUGCUGCCAGGCGGUGGAGAACAGAGCUCACGUCUCAUUGGCUGGCUCGCUCGCUCUCUCUGCGCAAUUGCGUUCGGACGAGGGUAUGGCCCAUUAUUUACAUCUGAUCAGCAGCAGGAACAAUGGGUCGUGAAGUCUCUCGCUUUUCUUGAGAAUAUUUUCUGUUUAACUGCUUUUUCAAAUCCCUUGUGAGUAUGUGAAUAACCAACAGACUCAAUAAAAUCUAUUAUGUGCCUUCCAACCGCGUUUCAAGUCCUGAAAAGAGCUGUGCUUAUCUAAUUUAAGGGGAAAUGCUUAAAUAUGAGCCUUAGUUUUUGGGGGGUUUUGGGUACCAGGGAUUGAGCUCGGGACCUCAUACUUGCAAGGCAUGCGGAGGAACCACUGAGCUAAAUCCCUGACCCCACUUUUUUUUUUUUUUUUUUUUUAGCCUUGGUAUUUUUAAUGUUAACGUCGUGGCUUGAAUUAACAAAGCCAGGAAAUUCAAGAGUAAUGCUGCUAAAUUUGUCUUCCACCGUUGCGUGUAUGCAGGUUUUUAUUUUUAAUGGUUCAAGUUUGUUCUUCCCAACAGCUUGAGUUCAUAAAGGAGCCUUUCCUGGAUCGAGUUUAUUGAUGUCUCAACCGCAUUGUGUGUGUGUGUGUGUGUGUGUGUAUGUUUGUAUGUUUGUGUUAGUAUACAAGAUUUGAUUAUCAGUUUCGUUAAUGGAUGAAGUUUAUGAGAUGGAAAGGUAAAAAAUGAUGGAACAGACAAGGAUUUUAUGGCUUCCAGAUGAAAUAGCUCAAGAGGUUUUUAGAUUACAGGUUUUGUUUUAGUUCCAUUGUGAGUAGGAGUAUUGCAUACAGCUUUUGAGUUUUUAUACUUAGCCUUCACAUUCUAAAUCUUACUAAAUGAACUACUGUACUUUGGGCAGUGAGUGCUUAGGAAAUACGGUUUUUAGUACUGUUUUUUGUCUGUACAUCCAAAGUGGAAUUAAAGUGUUAGUUUUGUAGGGAAAUAGGACAUAUCCUAAGAAUGUAGAUGGAAUAUUAUUCUCCAAUUUAGGAAGUUAAAAUUCAGGGAAUAUUAACUGUAUCUUUGUACAGACUAGAGGGUUAGCUUAAUUCUAGUUCCUAGUUUGUUUUUAUUUAUAAAAUAUAUACAAUGUCAUAACUUGUUUUUGUUUUUUUGAGACAGUCUCCUUGUGUAGUUCAGGCUGGCCUUGGACUAUAUAGCUCAGACUAGCCUUGAACUUAGGUGAUCCUCCUGCCUCAGCCUCCUGAAUACUGGGAUCACAGGUGUGCGCCACCACACCAGGCUAGUGUUAUACCUUUAACCAUUACAUUUACCACACCACUUUGCUAAGGCAGGAGAAUCGCGAGUUCAGGGCCAGCCUGGGCCUUUGGAAACGCUGCCUCAAAAAGGUUCUAAUUUAUUUUAUUUUAUUUACCUAUUUUUUUUUUUAAGAAUUUCAGGGGCUGGAUUUAGCUCAGUGGUUCUGCCGCCUGCCUCAAAAGCACAAGGACCUGAGUACGAUCCCCAGUACCAAAAAAUAAAUAAAAAAUAAAAGUGGGUAAAAAAUGAUAUCCAUAGGUAUUAGCUCAUUCUCCAACAGGCAGGACAGCUCUCAGGAGCCACAGUUCUAGGGUUAGUAUGGCUGCCUCUCCCAAAUUUACAGUUAAAUUUCCAUUGUUAAUCAGGAGGGAUAAAAUGGAUGUGAUCCUGUAAUCUUUCUUACUAUCCCUUCUGGAUGCGCCCCAAGUUUUUCGCUUCACAUGAAGUUGAGCUUUUUCUUUCUUGCUGAUUUUUGGACCCAUGACCAUUACUGUCUUUUUACCUUUUCCAAUAUGUUUUUUUUUUCUUGGUACUAGGGAUUGAACUCAGGUCCUUGUGCUUCCGCAGCAGGUGGUGAAACCACUGAGCUAAAUCCCCGGCCCUCCAAUAUGUUAAUAUGAGAGUCGCCCUGACCACCGCUGCCUUCCCUCUCAAGGCUACAGAUUCCACUUUCCACGACCACAACCUGCACAGACGAGCACCAAGAGGAGCAGGAUAAGGCAGAAAAGGAC